GACGAACGCUGGCGGCGUGCCUAAUACAUGCAAGUAGAACGCUGAAGGAGGAGCUUGCUUCUCCGGAUGAGUUGCGAACGGGUGAGUAACGCGUAGGUAACCUGCCUGGUAGCGGGGGAUAACUAUUGGAAACGAUAGCUAAUACCGCAUAACAGUAGAUGUUGCAUGACAUUUGCUUAAAAGGUGCAAUUGCAUCACUACCAGAUGGACCUGCGUUGUAUUAGCUAGUUGGUGAGGUAACGGCUCACCAAGGCGACGAUACAUAGCCGACCUGAGAGGGUGAUCGGCCACACUGGGACUGAGACACGGCCCAGACUCCUACGGGAGGCAGCAGUAGGGAAUCUUCGGCAAUGGACGGAAGUCUGACCGAGCAACGCCGCGUGAGGGAAGAAGGUUUUCGGAUCGUAAAGCUCUGUUGUAAGAGAAGAACGAGUGUGAGAGUGGAAAGUUCACACUGUGACGGUAUCUUACCAGAAAGGGACGGCUAACUACGUG
rnacentral:rRNA from 1 species